rnacentral:rRNA from 1 species
AGCGAACGUUGGCGGCAGGCUUAACACAUGCAAGUCGAGCGGGCGUAGCAAUACGUCCGCGGCAGACGGGUGAGUAACGCGUGGGAACGUACCUUUUGGUUCGGAACAACACAGGGAAACUUGUGCUAAUACCGGAUAAGCCCUUACGGGGAAAGAUUUAUCGCCGAAAGAUCGGCCCGCGUCUGAUUAGCUAGUUGGUGAGGUAACGGCUCACCAAGGCGACGAUCAGUAGCUGGUCUGAGAGGAUGAUCAGCCACAUUGGGACUGAGACACGGCCCAAACUCCUACGGGAGGCAGCAGUGGGGAAUAUUGGACAAUGGGGGCAACCCUGAUCCAGCCAUGCCGCGUGAGUGAUGAAGGCCCUAGGGUUGUAAAGCUCUUUUGUGCGGGAAGAUAAUGACGGUACCGCAAGAAUAAGCCCCGGCUAACUUCGUG